rnacentral:lncRNA from 1 species
AGGGUGAGAGUAGGUGUUGCUGUCCCAGGAAGGACGCCAUGUCCUAACCGGACUACUGCUCUGGAGAAGGCUAUCCAUGGUUUUGCCGACAAUCUUGGGGACAAUGUCAUAGUGCCAACUUUGGGUACAAUCUUUGAUUCUCUAGGUGAAGCAUACAACUUCUACAACCUAUAUUUGUGGAGAAAGGAUUUGGCAUUAGAUACGGCAAAAGUAGGCUAAAUGUUGAGAGGACAAAAUGCAUGCAGGAAAUUCUUUGCGGCUGUGCAGCAUGGGAAUAAGGAUUUGACACUUGUUAGUAUUUCAAAUAAUUUUGUGUAGGAGCUGUAGCUGAAAUGUUCCAUCUUUUUCGUGUUUUUUUGUAGGGAAAGGCGGGGUUUGAGAACACUAUGUCGUGUCGUUGCGAUUGCCUUGCUCUCAUCAGGUUGUUGCUGUCCAAAGACAAUGGUUAGUACAUAGCAAAAGACCGUGAGGAGCACUACGGAAGCUGAUCCAUGGCACAGGAGGUUCGCUUUCAGGUUUGUGUAGAUGGAGAGAAUUAAUUUCGGUUAGGUUGAUACUUCGAGGAGCUAUUAUUCGUUUUUGGUCAAAAGGGUCGAAUUGCUGAGACGACAUGGGUGGAGAGGGGCGACUCCAUUGGCGGUGAUGGAGUUGCUGAUGCGACCCAUGAACAGGUAACAUCAGUAUCGUUUUUGGAAGUAGGGUGUUUUAAUUCGCGAUUUGUUGAUUGCUUGCUUUUUUCUUGCAAUGGAGGGUCGCAGAUUCCCCUUUCUGGAGGAAUUGCAUGAGAGCGCAACCCCGAUGGAACCGGCAGCGUUCACGGUGGUUCGUUUGGUACCGGCUGCCGAGUAAUCGACGGGACUAGCCAUGAGCGCGGACAAGCAGGUUGUGAGGAAGACAUGGCAAAAGGUGUGAGAUGAAAGGCGUCGCCGCAGGUGUCCGAGAUGUCCACCGGGAAGAUGAAGUUCCUACAGUCCUACAGGCACCUGGUUGGGCUAAGAGGUGUCUUUCCCUAAAUCAAUCAAAUCGGUAUGCAUUGAAUUUUUGUUGUUGAGCGAUUAGGAGUGAUGCUGUCAUAUGUGUAUUGACGUCCCCUUGGGGUUCAGAACAUUCAGACAAGUAGUUGAUGCUGUUCUUAAGUAGUGUACGGUUAUGAAUGGAUGAUGAUCUAUCCAUCUUGGAGCAUGUUGUUACUAAUUCAAGGUUGUUGUACAAUUGGUUAUGAGUUACGAUUUAUGGGGAGUGCUUUGUAGUUAGUUCAUGUAUGAGUCUUGUUGGAUGCUUGCUUCUGAAUUUAGCUGUGCAAUGGAAUCGAGAUCAUGAUGCUCAAUGUAUGGAUUAUGGAUGUUCAAUUCAGUUUAUAAUGCUAGUUGUUUUUCAU